rnacentral:rRNA from 1 species
GGUUAAGCUACUAAGAGCACACGGAGGAUGCCUAGGCGCUAGGAGCCGAUGAAGGACGUGGCGAACAACGAAACUGCCUCGGGGAGCUGUAAGCAAGCUUUGAUCCGGGGAUGUCCGAAUGGGGAAACCCAGCUGGGGUAAUAUCCAGUUACUCAUAACUGAAUACAUAGGUUAUGUAGAGGCAUACCAGGGGAACUGAAACAUCUAAGUACCCUGAGGAAGAGAAAACAAUAGUGAUUCCGUCAGUAGCGGCGAGCGAACGCGGAGAAGCCCAAACCAGAGAGCUUGCUCUUUGGGGUUGUGGGACGUCUCACAUGGAGUUACAAAGGAACCGGUUAAGCGAAGAGGUCUGGAAAGGCCCGCCAAAGAAGGUAAAAGCCCUGUAAUUGAAAGUCUGUUCCCUCCGAGACGGAUCCCGAGUAGUGCGGGGCACGUGAAACCCCGUAUGAAUCCGGCAGGACCAUCUGCCAAGGCUAAAUACUUCCUAGCGACCGAUAGUGAAGCAGUACCGUGAGGGAAAGGUGAAAAGCACCCCGGAAGGGGAGUGAAAUAGAACCUGAAACCGUGUGCUUACAAAAAGUCAGAGCCCGUUUUAGGGGUGAUGGCGUGCCUUUUGUAGAAUGAACCGGCGAGUUACGUUCCCGUGCAAGGUUAAGGUGAAGAGCCGGAGCCGCAGCGAAAGCGAGUCUGAAUAGGGCGAGUGAGUACGUGGACGUAGACCCGAAACCGGGUGAUCUACCCCUGUCCAGGGUGAAGGUGCGGUAACACGCACUGGAGGCCCGAACCCACGCAUGUUGAAAAAUGCGGGGAUGAGGUGGGGGUAGCGGAGAAAUUCCAAUCGAACUCGGAGAUAGCUGGUUCUCCCCGAAAUAGCUUUAGGGCUAGCCUCGGAAAACAGAGUCGUGGAGGUAGAGCACUGAUUGGGUGCGGGGCCCGCAAGGGUUACCAAGCUCAGUCAAACUCCGAAUGCCAUAGACUUACUUCCGGGAGUCAGACAGUGAGUGCUAAGAUCCAUUGUCAAAAGGGAAACAGCCCAGACCAUCAGCUAAGGUCCCCAAGUGUGUGUUAAGUGGGAAAGGAUGUGGAGUUGCACAGACAACCAGGAUGUUGGCUUAGAAGCAGCCACCAUUGAAAGAGUGCGUAAUAGCUCACUGGUCGAGUGACUCUGCGCCGAAAAUGUAACGGGGCUAAACACACCACCGAAGCUAUGGCUUG